rnacentral:rRNA from 1 species
UACAGAGGUCUCGAGCGUUAGGCGGAAUCACUGGGCUUAAAGCGUGUGUAGGCGGAUCGGUAAGUACCUUGUGAAAUCCCACAGCUUAACUGUGGAACUGCUUGGUAUACUGCCAGUCUUGAGCCAGCUAGGGGCUACCGGAACAAAUGGUGGAGCGGUGAAAUGCGUAGAUAUUCGGAAGAACACCGGUGGCGAAGGCGACCUUCUGGGCCGCAACUGACGCUGAGGCACGAAAGCCUGGGGAGCGAACGGG